GCCCGCCUAGCUCAAUCGGAUAGAGCGUCAGACUUUUACGUCCAUAGGUCGGGUUAUCUGAAGGCUGCGAGUUCGACCCUCGCGGUGGGCU